UAGUACUUUGAUCUCAACAUUGGUGAUUCAGAUUUGUUAAAUUAAAAUUUGCUUUUUUUUUUUUCCCACUUAGGCUUCAUGAAGAUGGAGAUAUGGGAAAAAACAGUGAGCUGGCACCUCACUCACUUGUAAUGAUUCAAACAGAGAAUGUCAGAGGAAAAGAAAUACUGUUUCCACUCUCACUUGUAAGUGAAGAUACUAUUUCCAUGAAGGAACAAUUACGUGCGUGGAUAAACUAACACACAAGGCUUCUACGACAGUGUCAUAUAAACUGGAAAAUCAUUAUAACUAGAAAAAUUUCUUCAACAGAAGUGGUAAUAUUUCUAACUUUUUUUUCUCCUUUCUUUCAAAGUCCGCUGCCACACACAAUCUCUGAAAAAGAAAGACAAAACUCUUUCCCUUUAACACUGACAGGAAUAACAAAUAUUGCAUCUCUUCCUUGUCCUUUGACUUGUGUGACUUGUGCCCUCGUGUGUGACCACAAGGUGCCCUUUCUGUUGACAGUUACAAGCAAAGUAUAGAUGCCCUGUCGGACCGUAUGCACAGUUCAAAUAAGCCAGGAUGUUCAGUGUGAUUUGGGCAACAUAAGUGCAGCUGUAUAAAGCCCAGUGUAGCCAUCCUGCUGGUCACCUGGACAAAACAGACAAAAGGAAAGAGACUGAGCAUUCCUAAAUUUUCUACCAUAUUUCAUUCAUAAAUGAAAUGAAUUAUGUAAAAUGAAUUAGACUUCCUAACUAACUUCACUUUGUAUAUCAUUUCUUAGGAAUGUCUAAUAGACAGAGACAAAAAACAAACAAACAAACAAAAAAAACGUCUUAUUAGAUUGUUAAACCCAAUUUUCAGGGUCUAUAAGCUGUCGUUAGUCUUUUUUUUUUUUUCCAAGAACGAUAUUAGGCGUUAUUUUCUAUCCUAAUUUGGUAUUGAUGUUAAAAGUGUGUCUGACUGGCAUCUGUUACCACAGGUGUCAAUGGGUGGAAAUGCUGAUUCUUUAGCUUACCUUUGACAUUCAUUAUUCCGGGACAAGUGGGAACCAAAUACUUCUGUAAUGCUCAGUGUCUACCCCGGACUGUUGCUCUCUAAAUGUAACCUCAAGAUAGAAUUAAGGCGGUAUAUUUUCUGAAUCGUUGGAGAAUCAUUCGGUCUUAACUUGAAAGCCCAAGAGUAAAGAAUGCCUGCUUACCUGCCAACAAGAGAAAGGAAAACAACUAACAGGAAGAAGAGGUAAAGGACCCGAACAAAGCUUUGUUAACCUUUAGUCUUUACAUUAGUGAUUUCUUCAGUUAGUUGGAUAACUAGGUGCCUGAAAAAGUAGUCCUGUAUAACUGCAGAUACAGAGCAGAAAUUCUUGUUCCCAUUAUUAAAUGGGAGUGAGAUGAAAGUUUAAUACUGGUACAAUGUAAUGCAUCAGGUAAAGUCUAUUCGAAGGGCUAAACUCCACACUGCAAGUAGAUGAACAGACAUUGUGUCGUAAGCAUAUUUCCAUUGCAUUGUAGAGUUUUUAUUAAUUUUUAUGACUGAAUGUAUUCUAUUACUAUUCUAUUUAACUAUUCAUACUGUUAAACUUUUAGAUUAUUUCUGAACUUUGGCUUUUAUAGACAGCAGUCUUAUUUAAACAGUAGAAAUGUGAGGAUUGCCUCAAAGUCCAACAAUAAAGAAAUGAGGAAAUAAACCA
ensembl:lncRNA